rnacentral:rRNA from 1 species
CUAGGGAUUUAAUCCCUCUAAAGAGACGUUCGAGACCAGGACGUUGAUAGGUCGGGUGUGGAAGAGUGGUAACACUUGGAGCUAACCGAUACUAAUUGCUCGUGAGGCUUGACUCUAUCAUUU